GGAUUGUGGCUCAGUGGUACAGCUCUUGCCUAGCAUGCAUGAGGCAGUGGGUUCAAUUCUCAGCACCA
rnacentral:tRNA from 1 species